UACGGGGGGGGCAAGCGUUGUUCGGAAUUACUGGGCGUAAAGGGCUCGUAGGCGGCCAACUAAGUCAGACGUGAAAUCCCUCGGCUUAACCGGGGAACUGCGUCCGAUACUGGAGGGCUUGAGUGUGGGAGAGGGAUGCGGAAUUCCAGGUGUAGCGGUGAAAUGCGUAGAUAUCUGGAGGAACACCGGUGGCGAAGGCGGCAUCCUGGACCACGACUGACGCUGAGUGAGCGAAAGCCAGGGGAGCAAACGGG
rnacentral:rRNA from 1 species